rnacentral:misc_RNA from 1 species
AAAGUCGUAACAAGGUUUCUGUAGGUGAACCUGCAGAAGGAUCAUUACUGCUUGCUCAUGGCCGUCCCUAGAGGCAACCCCUUAGGUGGUCCGGCAACCACACCCUUGUCUAUGUAUACCUUUCGUUAUUUCUCUUAGCGGGGUAACCCGCCGCAGAGGACACUAAACCCUCUUGUAUUUAAAGCAUAAAAACUUCUAAACAAACCUAAAUUAUUACAACUUUCAACAAUAGAUCUCUUGGUUCUA